AAAAAAAAAAAAAGAACUGAUGAGUUUAUAUUUAUUAAUUCAUCAUCUUAAAUAGAAUAUCUCAUUUAAUAAAAAUGAUGAUUAUGAAUUCCCGGAUCUCAUACACGUAUAAAAACAAUCAAAAGUAAUCGCAUAUAAUAUUAAUAAGAAGCAUCAAUAGUAUUGGCUCUGCUGUCCUAAUUCUGAAUAUGCAAGUCAAAGAUAGCUAAUUAAUUAGAAUUAUACAUAUCAUUUAUCAAUGAAUUUUAACUCGAAGAUAUUGAACUCAUUCUCAAACCUUUAAAAUUUCGAAUUAGAACU
rnacentral:misc_RNA from 1 species